UCAAUUUAAAAUCCCCCAUUGACCCCUUUAACUUUACUGAGAAUUUCUAUAUCGUAUAGAACAUUUUAUGCUAAAACUAGUAACAAGAGAAAACCCUCCCCCAAUGCAAACAUAAGCCAACAAGAACCCAUCACUGGCAACUAACAGACCUAGACAAAAGUAACAAAAUCACUAGAAAACCCUACUUCUCACAACUGUUAACCUAACACUAGAGCAUUUCAGGGAAGAUUAAAAGAAAAAGAAGGAACUCGGCAAACACUAAUCCCGCCUGUUUACCAAAAACAUCGCCUCUUGUCCCUAUAAGAGGUCAAGCCUGCCCAGUGACUCUGUUCAACGGCCGCGGUAUCCUAACCGUGCGAAGGUAGCGUAAUCACUUGUUUUCUAAAUAAAGACCAGUAUGAAAGGCAUCACGAGGAUUAAACUGUCUCCUUUUUCCAAUCAGUGAACCUAAUCUCCCCGUGAAGAAGCGGGGAUUAUUUUAUAAGACGAGAAGACCCUAUGGAACUUAAAACAUUAUUACACCUGCCACCAAACUCAACUACUCAGAUAUCUCCCCAAAUGGCACUUUGAUUUUAUGUUUUCGGUUGGGGUGACCGCGGAGAAAAACUGAUCCUCCACGAUGAAGGGGGUACUCCCCCUAAACAAUAAGCUACAUCUUUAUGUAUCAAUAAAUUGACAUCCAUUGACCCAAUGACUUGAUUAACGAACCAAGUUACCCUAGGGAUAACAGCGCAAUCCACUUUAAGAGCCCCUAUCGACAAGUGGGCUUACGACCUCGAUGUUGGAUCGGGGUACCCCGGUGGUGUAGUCGCUACUAAAGGUUCGUUUGUUCAACGAUUAAAACCU
rnacentral:rRNA from 1 species